rnacentral:rRNA from 1 species
UACGGAGGGUGCAAGCGUUAAUCGGAAUUACUGGGCGUAAAGCGUGCGCAGGCGGUUUGUUAAGUCCGUUGUGAAAUCCCCGAGCUCAACUUGGGAAUUGCAAUGGAUACUGGCAGGCUGGAGUAUGGUAGAGGAAGGUGGAAUUCCCGGUGUAGCAGUGAAAUGCGUAGAGAUCGGGAGGAACACCAGUGGCGAAGGCGGCCUUCUGGACCAAUACUGACGCUCAUGCACGAAAGCGUGGGGAGCAAACAGG